rnacentral:rRNA from 1 species
GGAGUUAGCCGGUGCUUCUUCUGUGAGUGAUGUCCUUCCUGCCGGUUAUUGACCCGCAGGCCUUCUUCCUCACUGAAAGUGCUUUACAACCCGAAGGCCUUCUUCACACACGCGGCAUGGCUGGAUCAGGGUUGCCCCCAUUGUCCAAUAUUCCCCACUGCUGCCUCCCGUAGGAGUCUGGGCCGUGUCUCAGUCCCAGUGUGGCUGAUCAUCCUCUCAGACCAGCUACGGAUCGUCGCCUUGGUGAGCCGUUACCUCACCAACCAGCUAAUCCGACAUAGGCUCAUCCGAUAGCGCGAGGCCCGAAGGUCCCCCGCUUUCCCCCGUAGGGCGUAUGCGGUAUUAGCCUGGGUUUCCCCAGGUUAUCCCCCACUACCAGGCAGAUUCCUAUGCAUUACUCACCCGUCCGCCGCUCGCCACCAGGGAGCAAGCUCCCCGUGCUGCCGCUCGACUUGCAUGUGUUAGGCCUGCCGCCAGCGUUCAAUCUGAGCCAGAAUCGAACCCUGA